rnacentral:rRNA from 1 species
AUACGGGAGGCAGCAGUGGGGAAUAUUGCGCAAUGGGGGAAACCCUGACGCAGCAACGCCGCGUGGAGGAAGAAGGUCUUCGGAUUGUAAACUCCUGUCUUCAGGGACGAAUAAUGACGGUACCUGAGGAGGAAGCCACGGCUAACUACGUGCCAGCAGCCGCGGUAAUACGUAGGUGGCAAGCGUUGUCCGGAAUUAUUGGGCGUAAAGGGCGCGUAGGCGGCACCCUAAGUCAGAUGUGAAAUCCCGGGGCUUAACUCCGGACGUGCAUUUGAAACUGGGGAGCUUGAGUGCAGGAGAGGUAAGUGGAAUUCCUAGUGUAGCGGUGAAAUGCGUAGAUAUUAGGAGGAACACCAGUGGCGAAGGCGACUUACUGGACUGUAACUGACGCUGAGGCGCGAAAGCGUGGGGAGCAAACAGGAUUAGAUACCCCCGUAC